UUUUAGGCAUGAUGAAGAACGCAGAUAAAUGCGAUAUUUUAUUUUUGAAUUAUAGAAUUAGUGAGUCAUGGAAUCUUUGAACGCACAUUGCGCCCUGUGGUAUUCCGCGGGCAUGCUUGUUGGAGCGUCAGUACAACAGUCAAGCUGUGCUUGGUAUGGGCCCUGCCGGUAGCGGCAGGCCUUAAAAUCACUGGGGGCGCCAUCUGCUUUGAGCGUAGUAAUAGUACACGCAACAGAGUCCCGGUUGAAGCAUGCAGCUUCCCCCAUUUAUGAUCCUUUCACCUCUUUUUCCUCAGGAACCCCGUCAACUUUUGCUUCCCCUUAAGCACCGGAAAAGGGGAGGAAAUUUCCUA
rnacentral:rRNA from 1 species